rnacentral:snoRNA from 1 species
AACCCAUGAUGCGGACACUCGCACAAUAAAUCCUUAAAUCUCUCCCAUUCUUCACCGACUGUUUCACUGGUAUAUUGCUUUAAAUCCAGAAAUCUUCCUUCUUCAU